rnacentral:miRNA from 3 species
AGCGCCAUUUACAGAGCUAUAA